AGAGUUUGAUCCUGGCUCAGGGUGAAUGCUGGCGGCGUGGAUAAGUCAUGCAAGUCAAGGGGGCCCGCAAGGGCAACCGGCAGACGAGGUAGUAACACGUAGGUAGAUCCCCCGAAGUCGGGCAUAGCCAUCCGAAAGGAUGGGUAAUUCCCGAUAGUCCCGCAAGGGUAAAGGUUUUUCGCUUCGGGAGUUGCCUGCGUAGUAUCAGCUAGUUGGUAGGGUAACGGCCUACCAAGGCUACGACGCUUAGGGGAGCUGAGAGGCUGACCCCCACCGACGGAACUGCGACACGGUCCAUACUCCUACGGGAGGCUGCAGACGAGAAUAUUCCGCAAUGGGCGAAAGCCUGACGGAGCGACGCCGCGUGAUGGAUGAAGUGCCUUGGUACGUAAACAUCUUUUAUCGGGGACGAAGUUUAUUGACGGUACCCGA
rnacentral:rRNA from 1 species